UCUUUAAGUUUUGGGAUUUUAUAGUUGGUAUCAAAGCCGCAUUCCUAGGAACUAUUCCUUCCACAAAGACUUAAAAACACCAAAUUCAAAUUAUCACUCAACCUUUCCUUGUGAAAUAUAGGUACAAGAAAAUGAAGAGAUGAAGACUUCUACUAAAUUGAGCAGCUCGAGAUGACUCAUUUUGAGAGGAUGUUGACCGACUCUUUGAGAUACUAGAAGGACUCAUCUCCGGGCAGCACGCCUGGGAGGAAAGGAGGGAGUUGCCUGACCCUCCCCCACUACCACAAUUUGAGCAACCCUUGUAGCAAGAAGAUCUGGAGCCACCCUGGUACAACACUGUUCAUCCACCGUACCAUCCAGCACCACCAUAGUACAAUUCAGUGCCUCCACUGCAUCAUCCGGUACCACUAUAGUACAACCUAGUGCCUCCACCGUAUCAUCCAGCACCACCACAGGGCCACUCGGUCCCUCCCCAGCACAAUCCAGUUCCUCUUUUACGAGAGCCAAUUCUACCCAUGAUGGACCCAGACUACAUUGAAAGAUACAAAAGACUAAACCCAUCUAUCUUUGUAGGUGCAUACUCUUUUGAAGAGGUUGGGUAUCGGUUAGCUGAGACAGAGAAUGUCUUCGCGACUCUUGGGGUGGUUCCCGAACAAAAGGUUGUACUUACCACCUACAUGCUUGUGGGAGAGG
rnacentral:lncRNA from 1 species